UGGGGAAUUUUCCGCAAUGGGCGAAAGCCUGACGGGGCAAUACCGCGUGAGGGAGGAAGGCUCUUGGGUUGUAAACCUCUUUUCUCAGGGAAGAAUCCUGACGGUACCUGAGGAAUCAGCAUCGGCUAACUCCGUGCCAGCAGCCGCGGUAAUACGGAGGAUGCAAGCGUUAUCCGGAAUGAUUGGGCGUAAAGCGUCUGUAGGUGGCUUAAAAAGUCUGCUGUUAAAUAUUAGAGCUUAACUCUGAAAAAGCAGUGGAAACUGUCAGGCUAGAGUAUGGUAUGGGUAGAGGGAAUUUCCAGUGUAGCGGUGAAAUGCGUAGAUAUUGGGAAGAACACCAGUGGCGAAAGCGCUCUACUGGACCAUUACUGACACUCAGAGACGAAAGCUAGGGGAGCGAAUGGGAUUAGAUACCCCUGUAGUCC
rnacentral:rRNA from 1 species